UGGGGAAUUUUGGACAAUGGGCGAAAGCCUGAUCCAGCAAUGCCGCGUGUGUGAAGAAGGCCUUCGGGUUGUAAAGCACUUUUGUCCGGAAAGAAAUCCUUGGCUCUAAUACAGUCGGGGGAUGACGGUACCGGAAGAAUAAGCACCGGCUAACUACGUGCCAGCAGCCGCGGUAAUACGUAGGGUGCAAGCGUUAAUCGGAAUUACUGGGCGUAAAGCGUGCGCAGGCGGUUUGCUAAGACCGAUGUGAAAUCCCCGGGCUUAACCUGGGAACUGCAUUCGUGACUGCAAGGCUAGAGUAUGGCAGAGGGGGGUAGAAUUCCACGUGUAGCAGUGAAAUGCGUAGAGAUGUGGAGGAAUACCGAUGGCGAAGGCAGCCCCCUGGGCCAAAUACUGACGCUCAUGCACGAAAGCGUGGGGAGCAAACAGGAUUAGAUACCCUGGUAGUCCACGCCCUAAACGAUGUCAACUAGUUGUUGGGGAUUCAUUUCCUUAGUAACGUAGCUAACGCGUGAAGUUGACCGCCUGGGGAGUACGGUCGCAAGAUUAAAACUCAAAUGAAUUGACGGGGUCAUAGCUGUUUCCU
rnacentral:rRNA from 1 species